rnacentral:rRNA from 1 species
UACGAAGGGGGCUAGCGUUGUUCGGAAUACUGGCGUAAGCGCACGUAGGCGGAUUGUUAAGUGAGGGGUGAAAUCCCAGGGCUCAACCCUGGAACUGCCUUUCAUACUGGCAAUCUCGAGUCCGAGAGAGGUGAGUGGAAUUCCGAGUGUAGAGGUGAAAUUCGUAGAUAUUCGGAGGAACACCAGUGGCGAAGGCGGCUCACUGGCUCGGUACUGACGCUGAGGUGCGAAGCGUGGGGAGCAAACAGG